rnacentral:rRNA from 1 species
GAUGAACGCUGGCGGCGUGCCUAAUACAUGCAAGUCGAGCGAACGGACGAGAAGCUUGCUUCUCUGAUGUUAGCGGCGGACGGGUGAGUAACACGUGGAUAACCUACCUAUAAGACUGGGAUAACUUCGGGAAACCGGAGCUAAUACCGGAUAAUAUUUUGAACCGCAUGGUUCAAAAGUGAAAGACGGUCUUGCUGUCACUUAUAGAUGGAUCCGCGCUGCAUUAGCUAGUUGGUAAGGUAACGGCUUACCAAGGCAACGAUGCAUAGCCGACCUGAGAGGGUGAUCGGCAACACUGGAACUGAGACACGGUCCAGACUCCUACGGGAGGCAGCAGUAGGGAAUCUUCCGCAAUGGGCGAAAGCCUCACGGAGCAACGCCGCGUGAGUGAUGAAGGUCUUCGGAUCGUAAAACUCUGUUAUUAGGGAAGAACAUAUGUGUAAGUAACUGUGCACAUCUUGACGGUACCUAAUCAGAAAGCCACGGCUAACUACGUG